UCAUGUGCAGGGCGGGCCAGAAGUUGGACGCGACGGAUACGUGGAGGGCGGGUCCGGAUGCAAUAUCCGGCUCCGAUGUUCGGGCAUCAUGUUGAUAGCGCAGGAUGUAUCAUAGCCCCACGCAACGUGUAGAAAUGAUGCAAGGAUGCACUCUAGCGGAUGCUCAGGGGGCUCCGUCGAAAACCGAGCGAGCCUCUUCGUGACCUUGAAUGCCCACAUCGCCCGCCUGCCCACCUGCAGGACGACGCCAAGGACGCGCGCUGGUUCGACGUGUCGGCGCUGCCGCAGCUGGCCUUCGACCACAAGCUGGUGGUGCGCAGCUCGCUACGGCACCUGGCCAAGCAGCCGGCGGCGCAGGCCAUCGGUGAGUGGCCGCAGCGCUGGGCAGCGGCAAACCGCUGACUUUGCGAAAUGAACGUCGGUUGCACCCGCGCCGGGGCCGCCGGGGUCGCCGGGGCGACGUGAGCGGGCUGGGACCUUGUUGCUCCCACCACCUUAACGUGUGUCUAUGUGCUCACGUCCCUGCAGACGGCCUCUCGCCGGUCCUUGAGUCUGCCGCAACACAGCUGGAUGGGCCGUGGCAGACAGCGGAGUCGCGCGAGCCGCCGAAGCGAACGAAAGGCGGUGUGUGAGCGGUGGCGCGGUCUGCGGCGGCUUGUAGGGGCGGUGCAGAGUUGGCGUCACGAGCUGUUGAGGCGCCAGUCGCAGUCUGAGUCUAUGAACAGUGUUGCAUACACGUAUGGCCGCAUGAUGCAGAUGCGCUCUUGGCGAUGCAGGUGUCGCAUGCACGUUGGGUUGUGGCAAUGGAAUCUCAGGCAGCAGGUCCGGACAAGCGUGGCCGGGUUGGUCAAAAGUCAAGGUUGUAGGGUGAAGGUGCUCAAGGAGCCCAAUUGGGUUGUGCGCGGCGGCAGCGCAUGAUGGGGGCUGUGCACUUGCGGCAGUGCAUGAAGGAUGAGGCACCACAAUGACAGGCCCCUGCAGAGCCGUGUGCCGGCCUGUCCGCUGGGUGCUGUAAGCUUGCUCAAGUACAGUAGGGAGUGUGCUUUUGAGUUGGCAUAUCAUGUAUGAGGCGCUGGAUGCUUAGUGCGUUCGUACACAUGCUUGCCUGAACGGCAUUGAAGCAAUCCAGGCGCAGGAAGUGCGGAGUUUUCGCGGCGCGUGGUGGGGCGCAAUCGCCACGAGUGACCAUGGCGUGCCUGCCUGUCCAAUGCUGUGUGUUUGCCCGUACACAUGUCACAGAUGCAUAUGCAAUGCCCCCGGCCUCCUCAUCUUGUCAUAACCUUUCACUUAGAUUCAGUAAAAGCUUCGCCCCUUCGCACUACAAGGUGAACUCCCCACCCACCCCCUAAAGUUGCCUUCCUAGCCAGUACUGAAACUUUGAGCAAUGAAGGAGGUCUUCAUUGCUCUUGGAGGCGCCCUUUUGGGUGGCCUCCUUGCUGGCAAGCUCGGCAAAAAGAAGAAUUCUGAUGCCUCUGCCGCGAAGAAGGAUGCUGCUUCGGCUCCCAAGGGCUACACUUACCAGUAAGUCAAACCAAUUAAGAAGCACACAUGCGGCCUGGAAAAUUCACGCUUGUAUGGUGGCAUGUCUGAAGAUCUUGAGCAAUUCGCGUGUUUUGGCCCGCAAAGCCACAGCUUUAAGCGUGUAGGGUGCAUGCUGCUGAACAUUUAUUUACAUAGGUGGAGCUUAUGCCCUGCAUACUGGCCUGGGUUCAAGCAGCUGGGCUCCUGACACGCGCCGGCGCCUACUUACCUAGCCCGGUGCCUUAUUGCCUCGCCCCACCGCAGGUGGCCGCGGCCGGCGAUGACCGUGGACGCAAUUAUUGUGUCGCAGCCGACGCCUGCCAGCCCCGCACAGCUACUGCUCAUCCGCCGCAAGUUUGACCCCUUCAAGGUAAGUAGUUGGGGGGCGGGCAUGGCUUGCCAGUUUCCUUCCUGGAGUCAGCCACACUUGGCUGCGCCAUCCUGUUUAGCACUUUCUUACUGUGUCGAGUUGCAUGCGUAUUCUUUCAGGACUCGUGGGCGCUGCCAGGUGGCUUUGUUGACGCCGGUGAGGGCCUGGACGUGGCGGCCGCUCGUGAGCUGCAGGAGGAGACGUCGGUGGACCCCGCGUCCGUGUCCAUGACCCAGGUGCGCGGGUGCGGCUAGCGCGCGGGAGCAGCGGCAGCCGGCCUGGGGCUGGUAAACGUGGUGGGCUGCAAGUGAUUUGCAAGCGGAUGGAGGCCUUGUUGAUGGAUGAUGGGUAUUCGUCCAUUACUAUCGGGUACGGUGCAGUAACUGCUGGAUAAAUGCAGCUGACGUUGGCCGUCCUUCAAGCCUGGUAAGGCGCUAACCAGUUUCCUCAACGCCGCGGCCCUGCAGGUUGGCGCCUUUGCUGACCCUGGCCGCGACCCCCGCGGCUGGACCGUGACGGUGGCUUACGCUGCGCUGGUGCCCUCGACCGAGCUGGGAGUAAAGGCGGCGGUAAGCGCUGUCCGGGAUGCUGUCAUGUGCAGGGCGGGCCAGAAGGUGGACGCGGCGGAUACGUGGAGGGUGGGGUCCGGAUGCAGUAUCCGGCUCCGAUGUUCGGGCAUCAUGUUGAUAGCGCAGGAUGUAUCAUAGCCCCACGCAACGUGUAGAAAUGAUGCAAGGAUGCACUCUAGCGGAUGCUCAGGGGGCUCCGUCGAAAACCGAGCGAGCCUCUUCGUGACCUUGAAUGCCCACAUCGCCCGCCUGCCCACCUGCAGGACGACGCCAAGGACGCGCGCUGGUUCGACGUGUCGGCGCUGCCGCAGCUGGCCUUCGACCACAAGCUGGUGGUGCGCAGCUCGCUACGGCACCUGGCCAAGCAGCCGGCGGCGCAGGCCAUCGGUGAGUGGCCGCAGCACAUCUACCUAAGCAUGCCUAGCGCAACAUUACUGUGUGUAUGCUACCUUGAUCUCGCACUCCAUGCGCAUUCUGACAGCACUAGCCUGUGAACCGGCACUUGCAUGCCGGUGCCAGUAAUAUUGCUUAUCGUCUGUACCCGAAUGAACGGGUCGUGCCGCU
rnacentral:lncRNA from 1 species